CGGCCCGUAGCUCAGCGGUCCAGAGCGCCCGGCUGUAGACCGGGCGGUCCCGGGUUCGAAUCCCGGCGGGCCGACCA
rnacentral:tRNA from 1 species